UGUAACACCCUCGAUGCGACUAUAUCUCCCACGUGUCGAGGCACGACUUAGAGGCAUAAUCGCAUUGAAGGCAAUGUCGCAAGUGAGGUAAUCUUCACACAACCCAUGUAAUACAAUAGGGGAAAAAGUUACAUAGUUGGCUUACAAUCGCCACUUCACACAAUUACAUGAAUAAAGCAUUACAUCAUUCAAAUACACUCAAGGUCCGACUACGGAACCAAAAUAAAAGAAGAACCCCAAAUGCGACAAAGGUCCCCGAUCGACCCCAACUGGGCACCACUACUGAUCAACUAGAACGAAACAACAUAAAGGACAAGAUCUUCAACGAGCUCCUCCUGAGCUUGGUUGCGUCAUCUGCACGGACUCAUCGGCACCUGCAAACUGGUUUUGGAAGUAAUCUGUGAGCCAUGGGGACUCAGCAAUCUCGCACCCUCGCGAUCAAGACUAUUUAAGCUUAUGGGUAAGGUAAAGGUAUGAGGUGGAGCUGCAGCAAGCGACUAGCAUAUAUGGUGGCUAACAUACGCAAAUGAGAGCGAGAAGAGAAGGCAAGGCACGGUCGAUAAAGUAUGAUCAAGAAGUGAUCAUGGACUACCUACGUCAAGCAUAACUCCAACAACCGUGUUCACUUCCCGGACUCCGCCGGAAAGAGACCAUCACGGUUACACACGCGGUUGAUUCAUUUUAAUUAAGGUCGACUUCAGGUUUUCUACAACCGGACGUUAACAAAUUCCCAUCUGCCCAUAACCGCGAGCACGGCUUUCGAAAGAUCAAAUCCCUGCAGGGGUGUCCCAACUUAGCCCAUUACAAGCUCUCACGGACAACGAAGGAAUAGACCUCCACCCGAGACAUUCCGAUCAGACUCGGUAUCCCAGUACAACAAGACAUUUCGACAGGGUAAAACUAAACCAGCAACACCACCCGAAUGUGCCAACAAAUCCCGAUAGGAGCUGCACAUAUCUCUUUCUCAGGGCACACCGGAUCGUCCAAACUUCCGGUAGGCCAGCCCAGAGUUGCCCCUGGUGGCCACCGGCGGCUGACAGUUUGGACCAACACUCAGAGGAGCACUGGCCCGGGGGGGGGGGGUAAAUAAUGAUGACCCUUGAGUCUGCAGUACCCAAGGGAAAGAAAAAGGCUAGGUGGCAAAUGGUAAAACCAAUGUUGGGCAUUGCUGGAGAAGCUUUACUUAAGGCGAACUUGUAACACCCUCGAUGCGACUAUAUCUCCCACGUGUCGAGGCACGAUUUUGAGGCAUAAUCGCAUUGAAGGCAUAUGUCACAAGUGAGGUAAUCUUCACACAACCCAUGUAAUAUAACAAGGGAAAGAGAUACAUAGUUGGCUUACAACCGCCACUUCACACAAUUACAUGAAUAAAGCAUUACAUCAAUCAAGUACACUCAUGGUCCGACUACGGAACCAAAAUAAAAGAAGAACCCCAAAUGCGACAACGGUCCCCGAUCGACCCCAACUGGGCUCCACUACUGAUCAACUAGCACGAAACAACACAAAGGACAAGAUCUUCAUUGAGCUCCUCCUGAGCUUGGUAGCGUCAUCUGCUCGGUCUCAUCGGCACCUGCAAGCUGGUUUUGGAAGUAUCUGUGAGCCACAGGGACUCAGCAAUCUCGCACCCUCGCGAUCAAGACUAUUUAAGCUUAUGGGUAAGGCAAAGGUAUGAGGUGGAGCUGCAGCAAGCGACUAGCAUAUAUGGUGGCUAACAUACGCAAAUGAGAGCGAGAAGAGAAGGCAAAGCACGGUCGAUAAAAGUACGAUCAAGAAGUGAUCCUGGACUACCUACGUCAAGCAUAACUCCAACAACCGUGUUCACUUCCCGGACUCCGCCGGAAAGAGACCAUCACGGUUACACACGCGGUUGAUUCAUUUUAAUUAAGGUUGACUUUAGGUUUUCUACAACCGGACGUUAACAAAUUCCCAUCUGCCCAUAACCGCGGGCACGGCUUUCGAAAGAUCAAAUCCCUGCAGGGGUGUCCCAACUUAGCCCAUAACAAGCUCUCACGGUCAACGAAGGAAUAGACCUCCACCCGAGACAUUCCGAUCAGACUCGGUAUCCCAGUACAACAAGACAUUUCGACAGGGUAAAACUAAACCAGCAACACCGCCCGAUGCGCCGACAUCCUGAUGGGAGCUGCACAUAUCUCGUUCUCAGGGAAACACCGGAUGAGACAUCCUACGAGUAAAACCAGCCCUCAAGUUUCCCCGAGGUGGCCCUGUAGUCUACUCAGUUCGGANNNNNNNNNNNNNNNNNNNNNNNNNNNNNNNNNNNNNNNNNNNNNNNNNNNNNNNNNNNNNNNNNNNNNNNNNNNNNNNNNNNNNNNNNNNNNNNNNNNNNNNNNNNNNNNNNNNNNNNNNNNNNNNNNNNNNNNNNNNNNNNNNNNNNNNNNNNNNNNNNNNNNNNNNNNNNNNNNNNNNNNNNNNNNNNNNNNNNNNNNNNNNNNNNNNNNNNNNNNNNNNNNNNNNNNNNNNNNNNNNNNAAAGAGGCUAGGUGGCGAAUGGUAAAACCAAUGUUGGGCAUUGCUGGAGAAGCUUUACUUAAGGCGAACUGUCAAGGGGUUCCCAUUAUAGCCCAACCGCGUAAGGGACGCAAAAUCCGGGAACAUAACACCGAUAUGACGGAAACUAGGGCGGCAAGAGUGGAACAAAACACCAGGCAUAAGGCCGAGCCUUCCACCCUUUACCAAGUAUAUAGAUGCAUUAAAUAAAUAAGAUAUAUAGUGAUAUCCCAACAAGUAAAAAAAUGUCCCAACAAGGAACAACAUCUCCAUGUUCCAACAAGGAACAAGCUUCAAUCUUCACCUGCAACUAACAACGCUAUAAGAGGGGCUGAGCAAAGCGGUAACAUAGCCAAUCAACGGUUUGCUAGGACAAAGGUGGGUUAGAGGCUGGACAUGGCAAUUGGGAGGCUGACAAGCAAGUGGUAGGCAUCAUAGCAAUGGCAUAGCAAAAGAGCGAGCAUCUAGCAAAGCAAAGAUAGAAGUGAUUUCGAGGGUAUGAUCAUCUUGCCUGAAAAUCCCGCAAGGAAGAAGAACGAGUCCAUGAAGAAGACAAACGGGCGAAGUCGAACGGAUCCUCACAAACUCGACGUUAUCGGAACCAACCCGAAGAAGCAAACACCGGAAAAGAGCAAACAACAUAGUAAACAACCAACACAUCAACAUGGCAUGAUGCACAAUCGAGUAUGAUGCAUGUCCGGCUUAAAGGGGGCAUGGCAUGGCAAAAUGCACAAACAAUCCUACAAAUUAAGUGGAGCUCAAUAUGCAACGAGUUGCAUAUUGACGAAACACCACAUCAACUAUUUAGUUCGAUCUCGUUAUGUACCCCAACAAUAUUAAAUGUUGAUUAACAUGGCAAGAGGUGAAGCAAAAGAAAACUACCUAUCUAGUCAAGGUUAAAUGAGGCCGGAAGCAACGAACAACAAUUCCGGUAAAUCCCCAUAGCAUAUUUUAGAUUUGGUACUGAUCUGUCCUAAACACAAUUUUAGAGUUAUUAAACAUGCAAAUAAAGGUCACCAUGAUAAACUAGGCAAAAUUCCACCCCAUUUACAUAUAAAGUUUAUUUAAUUCGGAGCUACGGUUAUUUAGUUAUGAAUAAAAUCAUGUUAGCAUGGCAUAGGAGCAAAUUAAUGCAAACAACAUUUUUAAACAUUUUUAAUUGUUGUUAUCAUGAUGCGGAUGACAUGAACAAGUUUAUGCAAAUUUUAUUAAAAGUUGAUAAGAUCAUUAUGAAGCAUUUGUCACCGUGGUGGAAAGAAGAGGGAUGCCACGGUAACGAAUCCGAAAAUGAUGCCAUGGCAACAUAUCGGUUCUGGUAACUCGAUUGAGAUCCCGGUGCAAAAGAAAAUGCGACGGGAGCGUGACACGCAAUAGGAGGUGGGGUGAUCCCGGAUACCGGGUUCCCACAAGAUGGUGGCAAGGCAAAAGAGGGGCAACGUGCACCGAACAACUCCGACACGGAGCAAACACGAGCAUUUCAUACAUCACACAUGCAUUCAUUCACGGCGGUCGUCCCGGGGUUAUACCUUCGAAGCGAGCAUACUCGGAGGGGUUCGGGUUCGUAGAGGAAGUAGGCGUUCUCGCGACGGCGGUAGUAGUUGUUCACGGGGUCGUCGUGGGAAGUAGGGGUACAUGACGACGUAAAGGUACUCGCGACGGUAGUCGUUCACGUUCACGUUACACGGGUCUUCGGCGACGAUUGUCGUACAUGGUUCGGAGUGGUACUUGCGAUGGUAGUGGUACACGUUUCGUAGAUGUUCGAGCGAUAUCGGUAGCGGUACUUGAUGAAUCCCGAAACGGACUUGGCGUCGUCGUGCGUAGGGGUACUUGGCGUUUUCGGAGAUGAUGGUAGAGGAACACGUUUCGAAGGGGUACUUGGGGUCCUCGAACUUGCCGAUCUCGAAGGGGUACUUGACGUCCAAAGCGUUCAUCAGUAGUAGAACUUGGCGGUCUUGACGGUCGUCGUGGUACUUGACGUAAUCCACGCAAACGGUGCCUGUCCAAGCAUCGAUCUUGACGAAGAUGUACUUGACGAGUUACCCGAACGCGUUAGUCCUCGGACUUGGACUCCGGAGAUGGUGUCGUGGUGGUCCUGCAACAAUAGUCUCCGCAAGGGCGUUGGGGAAGGAGAUGGUCGUGACCGAGGACGAAAACAAGGAGCAGCAGCGCGAGGAGGGCCUUGGCGGCGCUGGUCGUCGGCAUCAGGCCGCGUGUGCUCGAGGAGAGGCCGAGGGCGGCUGGAACCGACCAGAGGCGACGCCCUACGGCGCGGGGACGAGGCAGGAGGCGGCUCGGGAGCACGGCGCGGGGACGACGGCUGCAGGCGUGGGCGCGGGCGCUCCUCUCCUCGGGCUCCUGGGCGACGCGGAGAUAGGUGAGGAGGAGGCGCGGCAGGGUGGCUCCGGCCAGGGGCACGGCGCGGGGUGGUUGGCUUGAGUGAGGGGAGAGGGAGAGACCAUGGAUCGGGCGAGAGGAGAGAGGAGCGUGGGCGCGGGCGCUGGUGAUGGGGAUCGAGCGUGAGGAGCUCCUCUCCCUGGCGAAGCGAGGUGGCGACAGAAAAAAAUGGAGGGGGUCGAGGGAGAUGGGGCGCUAGAUCUGGCCUUUGGCGGCGCGAGGGGAGAGGAUGAGGGAGAGAACAAGGGGAUGAGGUCUCCUCGCGCUAGGUUACAGGAGGAGGAGGCCCGGCCUGGUGGGCUGAGAGGAAAAAAUGGGCCGGCCUCGUUGGGCUCCUUCCCUCUCUCUAAUUCUCUUUCACUUCUUUAUUUCUUGAUUUAACAAAUAAACCGAGGAAUAAGAAAUGUAGAGAGAGAUAGGAGAAGAAUUUGAGCAGGGCGCCAAUUUUCUUGGACUCAUAAAAAUGAGGUUGAUCCAAGAAAAAUACAUUUGACACCGUUUGGAAGGAUUGCAUUCGAACACAUUUGAAUGUGAUUCAAAUGAGUUUGAAUUAGGAAAAACAUUUUGGAGAGUCCAAAAAUGUUCGGAAUAUUGGUGGAGCACCGGAAAAUGGAGAAAGGAUAAAAGCAAAGUUUGGGGACCAAACUCGAAGCGAGAAAAGGCAUUGGGAUUUUAUUUUGCAAGUGUGUUCCGGUUAAUUCCAAAAGAAUGGAAUAUUUAUUAUAGCUCCCUAAUAUUGGGAGGAUAUAUUAUAAAGAGAAGUCAUCCUUCCCUCGAUUUAAAUGGAUCGAAGAUCCAUACGAUUUAUUUAGUUGAGAUGCAAAAGACUAUGACAUGAUGACAUGAUGACAUGAUGCAAUGCACAUGAUGACUUUACAUGAUGCAACACGCAAGCACAUGACAACGCAACAACAUCGAAUAACUGCACGACACCUGGCACAUCGGUCUCGGGGCGUUACAACACUCCACCUCUACGAGAGGAUCUCGUCCCGAGAUCUAGAAUGGCACCGGAGGGAAAAGGAAGAGAAAGAGAAGAGGUAAAACAAAUUGCUUCAUUGACAAACGAGUGAAACCACAACCUUGAGAGGUUGAAUACCUUCGAGACAGAAUUCAACGAAGGUGAACAAGGUCGAAAACAGCCAUUUAGAAAAGAGGAAGAAAGCACAUUGCGAAAAACCUUGAGGUUGAAGGGAAGAUAUAUAUUGAAACUACUCCGGUUAAGACAAGAUAGAGAAGGAAUAAGACUUAUAUAAUUUGGACAGCACUCCGGUUGAGAAGGGAUGCAAAAAUUGAUAAGAUGAGAAAGCUCGAAAGAAAACACGACACUCCGGUUGAAUGGAUAAGCAAAGAAAGAAUACUAUCAUGACAAACCAAGAAGAUGGGUUGAAGAGAGCAACAUCACAAGCCUCCGGAACGAAGGGAAACAAGAUCUUGAGAGAGCACGGUUACCACAAAUGCUAGAACGGAGUUGUUGGAAAACCAACAACGAAAAGAAUAAUCUUGAUAUGGUCUUAUAGAAAAAACAUCUCGAAACUAGAGGUGAUAACCUGCCACUCAUGGGAAAAGAAUUGUAUUGAUAUGAACAAGUAGACGAGAAACUAUAUCACCGGGAGGAUAUAUGAAGAACUUGGAUCAUAUACGAGCACAAUUAUCGCAACAAUCCUUAGGGAAGGAUUUAGGUGAAGUAUAACCCAAGAUAAAUCCAUGACGAGAUUGAUGGAUUUAAAAUAUCUCAUUCUUGACAACAUGUGAAUCAUGAAAAAUGAACUCAAAUUAUCAAGAAUGACACAAUACCACCUCCAAUGAUACGGAAGAAAGAAUAAUUACACUCCGGAUUACGAUAUGAAGAAUGCUUGAGCACCUCUGAAAAGAAACUUGAUGAACACUUCAAGAAGGAAUUAAAUCCUUGGUGAACCAUCAUGUAGAACCUCCAUGAAGAACUCCGUUAAACAGAAGAAUGAUCAAACGGAAAGAAAAGGGAAGUUGAAAACACAAGGUGAAACCUUGUAAUGAUUAGAUGGAACUUCGCGACGAGAUAAUGGGGAAAAGCUUGGAACUCCAGAAAAGAAAGAUGAACAAAUGAAAUCAAGAAUUUGAUGAGCCCCCGGAAUAAAGAAUUAAUCACUUGGAUGAACAAGAAUAAGAAUUACAUUAUGCUUAUCCUUCACCAAUUCAAAUUGACGACAACCAAUGGAAUUUGCAUACUACUUAUUCUCGUAGAAAGGAUUAAGAUAGAUAAUGCGCAAACUUGAAGAGGCCUUCAAUGAUCCACCGGUAGGAUUUGAAAGAACGGAAGUAUGAUAACGUAAGAAGAGGAAACUUGAACAAACCACCGUAAGAGUUAAAAUGAACGAAGAAAAGAUAAAGAAACACCGGGAAGAAUUAUAAAAUGAACAGAGAUUGAGAGGAUUUAGAAACAUGAGAACGAAGAGAUCACGAGUCGACUAAAGAUCACUAGAACAAAGGACGGUGAAAAUAGGAGAAUGAUAACUGACAGCUGAGAAUGAAUAAUCCUGAAUUGAUGGACUCCGGAUAACAAAUUGAGAAGACUCUUGCAUUGCUCCGGAUGGGUAAAAGAAUUCUCACGAUCAAAACAAUUAUGAGAGGAUUGCAACAAUCUCGAAUGACAAAACUUGAAGAGAAUGGAGCAAGGUUGAAAGAAGAAUCGUCUUCGGUCUUCCAAACUGAGAAUGACGAUGAGAAAUACCAUCAAGACUUAUUUAGAUACUCCGGAAGAAUCAAAACGAAGAGGUUGAGCCAACGGUGAAAAGAAUUUAACCGAUCUUGGAGAAAGACAUAUGACUGAUGAUAAUUCAUUCUUACGUCAAACUUCAAAAGGGAUUUAGUAUAACUCCGGUGGAAUAAAAAGAGUCAGGUAAGAUCCUGGGAAAGGACCUAUGGGUUAGGGCCCACUCAAAAGAAACACCGUUGAAUGAUUUAAAAGGAGAGAUUGCACUGGUUGAAUAAUAAAAAAAAGGCUUGAAUGAGAUAAGAACCUCGAAAGAGCUUGAACGAAAGUAGAGUGGAAACACGAAUCUUCUGAGAUAUCUUCAGCACUCCGGAACAAAUGAAUAGCGAGAAGUGAAUUAUUAUGAGGAGCACCGGUAUGAGAAAGCAUUGACAUGAGAAAAGGGUAUGAUCAACAAAGCUUGACUUGGAUCCACCGGAGAAGAAAAGAACAAGGAAUGAUAAACUUGAAGCUCCGUUAGAAUAUUCAUGAGAAUCACCGGAUAAGAAUAUUGAUAGAAAAAGAAUCGAGAGACUUGACAUCAAUAAGAAGGAUACUUGAAAAGACAUCUGAGUCCUUGAAGAAAACAAGGGUGGGAGGGUGGGAAAAAAACAAAGGCAACUUGGAGACGGAUGAAACAAACACCGUUGAUAAGAACUAAUAAUUGAUCUUGCGGAAGUUGAAAUGUUCGGAUCCACUAGAAGAGAAGCACACCGGUUAAAAGGAUUGACAAAAACAAUCUUGAUGAACAAGAAGGAUUAGUAUUCACAUCGGAGUAUGAGAACACCAUUUGGGGAAGGUAUGGAAUCAACACUUGACAUUGAAGCAACUCGAAUACCACAACUCAAAACAAAACAAAGGGUUGGCUUGCAAAAUAAGCCGGAACAAACAUAUGAUAGAGAUUUCGUCCGAAGUUUUCGUGGUGGGACCUACACGGGCUCGAUUGUACAGCACCAUCAUGUACAAGGCAGUGCACAUGACAUACGAAGCGUCCCCGAGUCAGCAUAGCCAAGGACUCUUUAAGACCCAACGAGACCACUGUAAAAUCGACCGUGAAUAGGCGAACCACUAGACGUCGAUUGGAGAAGAUAUCCUAAGUCAGCAUAGCCAAGGACUCUUUAAGACCCAAUUUCAUAUCACACAUCUGUCGGAAAGAUAUCCUAAGAGCUACUUGAAUUCCACCUAUGAAACUCCCGAAACUUUCCGGUUAUGCAAUCAGGUGUUGGGGAUACAGGGGAAGCAUAAUAUCUCACCCAAACUAGCAAUACCUACAUCCAGCUGUAUCCAUCCUUCAACACAUAACCAAGACACUACGGUGCAAGUCAUGGCAAGGCAAGCAUAUAUCCAUAAGGAAGGCACAAAAUGCUAGCUAGACAUGGCAAGAACAAUGGCAUAGCAUGCAUGGAUAACUAGCAAUAGCUCCGGCAAAAUCGCAAAAGAGUUCACGAUCUGCCCAAAUUAACAACGAUGCAAAAGUUGAGCUCGAUUGACUCAACCUAGGGUGCUCCAACAUAGCAAGCAAAGACAUGGAUGGAUAGAGCACAACAAGUUUAACAAAUGUCCCUGAAAUCAGCAAUCUCAGGUACCCCUCUUGGCAAGCUUGCAUAAGACACCACACACAUCCUAAAAAUGCAUGGGUGGCACCUCUGGAAAGAAGACAAAAUGCUUAACAAUUCAUCCCAAAGGGUCAUAGGCAUAUCAUGCACACAAUAAUCAUGGCAAAAAUGACAAAAGUCAAUGUUGAGCUAACGGAUCUGCAAUUUAACUCACGAUGCCUCCUUCUAACAGCAUUUUGGGCAUCAAGAUGAACUCAAAUGCAAAUGAUGCAAUGGAAUGAAAUGAUGUACUCAUCGAGACGAAGAUUUUGAUAUAUUAUAUGCCCAAAACGGAGCUACGGAUGCGGAGAUAUGAUCAGACGAACAUGAGCAUAUGGAUCUGGGAAUUCCGGGGACUUAGCCAAAAUUUAUACCUCUCCGGGAAAAGUCAACGGGACGGAGCGGUGCGGGACGGGGUGGAUCCGGAUCGAGAUGACGACAUUUGGAUGAAGGGACCGGUGGAUCUCGUCCCGAUCCAUCGGAUCGGAUCCGGCCGGGAUUUACUCCGGCGAGCUCCGGCGAUGAUGGCGAGGAGCCUCGGUGGCGGAGGCGGGCCGUGCCGCGAAGGGCGGUGGCCGGCAGGGACUCGGCCGGGCGGCGAGCAGGCGCCGGCGAGGNNNNNNNNNNNNNNNNNNNNNNNNNNNNNNNNNNNNNNNNNNNNNNNNNNNNNNNNNNNNNNNNNNNNNNNNNNNNNNNNNNNNNNNNNNNNNNNNNNNNNNNNNNNNNNNNNNNNNNNNNNNNNNNNNNNNNNNNNNNNNNNNNNNNNNNNNNNNNNNNNNNNNNNNNNNNNNNNNNNNNNNNNNNNNNNNNNNNNNNNNNNNNNNNNNNNNNNNNNNNNNNNNNNNNNNNNNNNNNNNNNNNNNNNNNNNNNNNNNNNNNNNNNNCGCGGGCCCGAUCCGGGCCGCGUGGGCCGGCGGCGGGGCUAGAGGAGAGAGAAGGUGGCGGGAUGACGUGGCGGCGGCGGAUUCGCCGGGUACGGCGGUCGGACAUGUCCGGGGCGUGGAGAUUUGUCCGGUGGCGCGAGGUAGGAGAAGCUAGGGUUUCAUCCGCGAUUUUUUUCGGGGAUGCCCACAUAUUUCCUUCGGCAAACGGGAGUUGCAUAAUCUCAUAGUCAUAGGAACAUGUAUAAGUCAUGAAGAAAGUAAUGGCAACAUACUAAACGAUCGGGUGCUAAGCUAAUGGAAUGGGUCAUGUCAAUCAGAUCAUUCAACUAAUGAUGUGACCUCGUUAAUCAAAUAACAACUCUUUGUUCAUGGUUAGGAAACUUAACCAUCUUUGAUUAACGAGCUAGUCUAGUAGAGGCAUACUAGUGACACUCUGUUUGUCUAUGUAUUCACACAUGUAUUAUGUUUCCGGUUAAUUCAAUUCUAGCAUGAAUAAUUGAAGGAAAUAUGCCCUAGAGGCAAUAAUAAAGUUAUUAUUUAUUUCCUUAUAUCAUGAUAAAUGUUUAUUAUUCAUGCUAGAAUUGUAUUAAUCGGAAACAUGAUACAUGUGUGAAUACAUAGACCAACAGAGUGUCACUAGUAUGCCUCUACUUGACUAGCUCGUUAAUCAAAGAUGGUUAUGUUUCCUAACCAUGAACAAAGAGUUGUUAUUUGAUUAACGAGGUCACAUCAUUAGUUGAAUGAUCUGAUUGACAUGACCCAUUCCAUUAGCUUAGCACCCGAUCGUUUAGUAUGUUGCUAUUGCUUUCUUCAUGACUUAUACAUGUUCCUAUAACUAUGAGAUUAUGCAACUCCCGUUUACCGGAGGAACACUUUGGGUACUACCAAACGUCACAACGUAACUGGGUGAUUAUAAAGGAGUACUACAGGUGUCUCCAAUGGUAGAUGUUGGGUUGGCGUAUUUCGAGAUUAGGGUUUGUCACUCCGAUUGUCGGAGAGGUAUCUCUGGGCCCUCUCGGUAAUGCACAUCACAUAAGCCUUGCAAGCACUGCAACUAAUAUGUUAGUUGUGAGAUGAUGUAUUACGGAACGAGUAAAGAGACUUGCCAGUAACGAGAUUGAACUAGGUAUUGGAUACCGACGAUCGAAUCUCGGGCAAGUAACAUACCGAUGACAAAGGGAACAACGUAUGUUGUUAUGCGGUCUGACCGAUAAAGAUCUUCGUAGAAUAUGUAGGAGCCAAUAUGGGCAUCCAGGUCCCGCUAUUGGUUAUUGACCGGAGACGUGUCUCGGUCAUGUCUACAUUGUUCUUGAACCGUAGGGUCCGCACGCUUAACGUUACGAUGACAGUUAUUAUGAGUUUAUGCAUUUUGAUGUACCGAAGGUUGUUCGGAGUCCCAGAUGAGAUCACGGACUUGACGAGGAGUCUCGAAAUGGUCGAGACGUAAAGAUUGAUAUAUUGGAAGCCUAUGUUUGGACAUAGGAAGUGUUCCGGGUGAAAUCGGGAUUUUACCGGAAUACCGGGAGGGUUACCGGAACCCCCCGGGAGACUAAUGGGCCUAUUGGGCCUUAGUGGAAAAAGAGAAAAGGGGCAGCCCAUAGCUGGCCGGCGCCCCCCCUUUCCCCAAGUCCUAGUAGGACUAGGAUAAGGGGCCGGCCCCCCCCUUCUCUCUCCUUUUCCCCGAGAGUCCUAAUUGGAAUAGGAUUGGAGGGGGGAGUCCUACUCCCGAUGGGAGUAGGACUCCCCCUGCGCCUCCCUCUCCCUGGCCGGCCGGCCCCCCCUCCUCCAACCUUUAUAUACGGGGGGAGGGGACACCCCAAGACACACAAGUUGAUCCUUGAGAUCGUUCCUUAGCCGUGUGCGGUGCCCCCUGCCACCAAAUUCCACCUCGAUCAUACCGUUACAGUGCUUAGGCGAAGCCCUGUGUCGGUAGUACAUCAAGAUCGUCACCACGCCGUCGUGCUGACAGAACUCUUCCUCGACGCUUUGCUGGAUCGGAGCCCGAGGAACGUCAUCGAGCUGAACGUGUGCUAAGAACUCGGAGGUGCCGGAGUAACGGUGCUUGGAUCGGUCGGAUCGGAAAGAAGACGUACGACUACUUCCUCUACGUUGUGUGAUCACUUCCGCAGUCGGUCUGCAUUGGUACGUAGACAACACUCUCCCCUCUCGUUGCUGUGCAUCACCAUGAUCUUGCGUGUGCGUAGGAAAUUUUUCGAAAUUACUGCGUUCCCCAACAUUGGCAUCCGAGCCUAGGUUUUAUGGUUUGAUGUUAUUUGCACGAGUAGAACACAAGUGAGUUGUGGGCGAUACAAGUCAUACUGCCUACCAGCAUGUCAUACUUUGGUUCGGCGGUAUUGUUGGGUGAGACGAUCCGGACCAACCUUACACGUACUCUUACGCGAGACCGGUUCCCUCGACGUGCUUUGCACAUAGAUGGCUUGCGGAAGACUGUCUCUCCAACUUUAGUUGAACCAAGUGUGACUACGCCCGGUCCUUGAGAAGGUUAAAACGGAGUCUAUUUGACGAACUAUCGUUGUGGUUUUGAUGCAUAGGUGAGAUGAGUUCUUACUUAAGCCCGUAGCAGCCACGUAAAACUUGCAACAACAAAGUAGAGGACGUCUAACUUGUUUUUGCAGGGCAUGUUGUGAUGUGAUAUGGUCAAGGCAUGAUGCUGAUUUUAUUGUAUGAGAUGAUCAUGUUUUGUAACCGAGUUAUCGGCAACUGGCAGGAGCCAUAUGGUUGUCGCUUUAUUGUAUGCAAUGCAAUCGCGAUGUAAUGCUUUACUUUAUUACUAAACGGUAGUGAUAGUCGUGGAAGCAUAAGAUUGGCGAGACGACAACGAUGCUACGAUGGAGAUCAAGGUGUCGCGCCGGUGAUGAUGGUGAUCAUGACGGUGCUUCGGAGAUGGAGAUCACAAGCACAAGAUGAUGAUGGCCAUAUCAUAUCACUUAUAUUGAUUGCAUGUGAUGUUUAUCCCUUUUUAUGCAUCUUAUCUUGCUUUGAUUGACGGUAGCAUUAUAAGAUGAUCUCUCACUAAAAAUUAUCAAGAAGUGUUCUCCCUGAGUAUGCACCGUUGCCAAAGUUCGUCGUGCCCAGACACCACGUGAUGAUCGGGUGUGAUAAGCUCUACGUCCAAAUACAACGGGUGCAAAACAGUUGCACACGCAGAAUACUCAGGUUAUACUUGACGAGCCAAGCAUAUACAGAUAUGGCCUCGGAACACGGAGACCGAAAGGUCGAGCGUGAAUCAUAUAGUAGAUAUGAUCAACAUAACGAUGUUCACCAUUGAAAACUACUCCAUCUCACGUGAUGAUCGGUUAUGGUUUAGUUGAUUUGGAUCACGUGAUCACUUAGAAGAUUAGAGGGAUGUCUAUCUAAGUGGGAGUUCCUAAGUAAUUUGAUUAACUGAACUUAAACUUAUCAUGAACUUAGUACCUGAUAGUAUCUUGCUUGUUUAUGUUGAUUGUAGAUAGAUGGCUCGUGCUAUUGUUCCGUUGAAUUUUAAUGCGUUCCUUGAGAAAGCAAAGUUGAAAGAUGAUGGUAGCAAUUACACGGACUGGGUCCGUAACCUGAGGAUCAUCCUCAUUGCUGCACAGAAGAAUUACGUCCUGGAAGCACCGCUGGGUGACAGGCCUGCUGCUGGAGCAACGCCAGAUGUUAUGAACGUCUGGCAGAGCAAAGCUGAUGACUACUCGAUAGUUCAGUGUGCCAUGCUUUACGGCUUAGAAUCGGGACUUCAACGACGUUUUGAACGUCAUGGAGCAUAUGAGAUGUUCCAGGAGUUGAAGUUAAUAUUUCAAGCAAAUGCCCGAAUUGGGAGAUAUGAAGUCUCCAAUAAGUUCUAUAGCUGCAAGAUGGAGGAGAACAGUUCUGUCAGUGAGCAUAUACUCAAAAUGUCUGGGUAUAAUAAUCACUUGAUUCAGAUGGGAGUUAAUCUUCCAGAUGACUGCGUCAUUGACAGAAUUCUCCAAUCACUGCCACCAAGCUACAAGAGCUUCGUGAUGAACUAUAAUAUGCAAGGGAUGAACAAGACUAUUCCCGAGCUCUUCGCAAUGCUGAAAGCUGCGGAGGUAGAAAUCAAGAAGGAGCAUCAAGUGUUGAUGAUUAGCAAAACCACUAGUUUCAAGAAAAAGGGCAAAGGGAAGAAGAAGGGAAACUUCAAGAAGAACAGCAAGCAAGUUGCUGCUCAGGAGAAGAAACCCAAGUCUGGACCUAAGCCUGAAACUGAGUGCUUCUACUGCAAGCAGACAGGUCACUGGAAGCGGAACUGCCCCAAGUAUUUGGCGGAUAAGAAGGAUGGCAAAGUGAGCAAAGGUAUAUGUGAUAUACAUGUUAUUGAUGUGUACCUUACUAGAGCUCGCAGUAGCACCUGGGUAUUUGAUACUGGUUCUGUUGCUAAUAUUUGCAACUCGAAACAGGGACUACGGAAUAAGCGGACGCUAGCAAAGGACGAGGUGACGAUGCGCGUGGGAAACGGUUCCAAAGUCGAUGUGAUCGCGGUCGGCACGCUACCUCUACAUCUACCUUCGGGAUUAAUAUUAGACCUAAAUAAUUGUUAUUUGGUGCCAGCGUUGAGCAUGAACAUUAUAUCUGGAUCUUGUUUAAUGCGAGACGGUUAUUCAUUUAAAUCAGAGAAUAAUGGUUGUUCUAUUUAUAUGAGUAAUAUCUUUUAUGGUCAUGCACCUUUGAAGAGUGGUCUAUUCUUGUUGAAUCUCGAAGAUAGUGAUACACAUAUUCAUAAUGUAGAAGCCAAAAGAUGCAAAGUUAAUAAUGAUAGUGCAACUUAUUUGUGGCACUGCCGUUUAGGUCAUAUCGGUGUAAAACGCAUGAAGAAACUCCAUACUGAUGGGCUUUUGGAACCACUUGAUUAUGAAUCACUUGGGACUUGCGAACCGUGCCUCAUAGGCAAGAUGACUAAAACACCGUUCUCCAGUACUAUGGAGAGAGCAACAGAUUUAUUGGAAAUCAUACAUACCGAUGUAUGUGGUCCGAUGAAUAUUGAGGCUCGUGGCGGAUAUCGUUAUUUUCUCACCUUCACAGAUGAUUUAAGCAGAUAUGGGUAUAUCUACUUAAUGAAACAUAAGUCUGAAACAUUUGAAAAGUUCAAAGAAUUUCAGAGUGAGGUUGAAAAUCAUCGUAACAAGAAAAUAAAGUUUCUACGAUCUGAUCGUGGAGGAGAAUAUUUGAGUUACGAGUUUGGUGUACAUUUGAACAAUUGUGGAAUAGUGUCGCAACUCACGCCACCCGGAACACCACAACGUAAUGGUGUGUCCGAACGUCGUAAUCGUACUUUACUAGAUAUGGUGCGAUCUAUGAUGUCUCUUACUGAUUUACCGCUAUCGUUUUGGGGUUAUGCUUUAGAGACGGCCGCAUUCACGUUAAACAGGGCACCAUCAAAAUCCAUUGAGACGACACCUUAUAAACUAUGGUUUGGCAAGAAACCAAAGUUGUCGUUUCUUAAAGUUUGGGGCUGCGAUGCUUAUGUGAAAAAGCUUCAACCUGAUAAGCUCGAACCCAAAUCGGAGAAAUGUGUCUUCAUAGGAUAUCCAAAGGAAACUAUUGGAUACACCUUCUAUCACAGAUCCGAAGGCAAGACUUUUGUUGCUAAAUUCGGAAACUUUCUAGAGAAGGAGUUUCUCUCGAAAGAAGUGAGUGGGAGGAAAGUAGAACUUGACGAGGUAACUGUACCUGCUCCCUUAUUGGAAAAUAGUACAUCACAGAAAACUGUUUCUGCGACACCUAUACCAAUCAGUGAGGAAGCUAAUGAUGAUGAUCAUGAAGCCUCAGAACAAGAUACUACUGAAACACGUAGAUCAACCAGAGUGAGAUCCGCACCAGAGUGGUACGGUAAUCCAGUUCUGGAAGUCAUGAUGCUAGAUCAUGAUGAACCUACGAACUAUGAAGAAGCGAUGGUGAGCCCAGAUUCCGCAAAGUGGCUUGAGGCCAUGAAAUCUGAGAUGGGAUCCAUGUAUGAAAACAAAGUAUGGACUUUGGUUGACUUGCCCGAUGAUCGGCAAGCAAUUGAGAAUAAAUGGAUCUUCAAGAAAAAGACUGACGCCGACGGUAACAUUACUGUCUAUAAAGCUCGACUUGUCGCGAAAGGUUUUCGACAAGUUCAAGGAGUUGACUACGAUGAGACCUUCUCACCCGUAGCGAUGCUUAAGUCCGUCAGAAUUAUGUUAGCAAUUGCCGCAUUUUAUGAUUAUGAAAUAUGGCAGAUGGAUGUCAAAACUGCAUUCCUGAAUGGAUUUCUGGAAGAAGAGUUGUAUAUGAUACAACCAGAAGGUUUUGUCGAUCCAAAGGGAGCUAACAAAGCAUGCAAACUCCAGCGAUCCAUUUAUGGACUGGUGCAAGCAUCUCGGAGUUGGAAUAAACGCUUUGAUAGUGUGAUCAAAGCAUUUGGCUUUAUACAGACUUUUGGAGAAGCCUGUAUUUACAAGAAAGUGAGUGGGAGCUCUGUAGCAUUUCUAAUAUUAUAUGUGGAUGACAUAUUGCUGAUUGGAAAUGAUAUAGAAUUUCUGGAUAGCAUAAAGGGAUACUUGAAUAAAAGUUUUUCGAUGAAAGACCUCGGGGAAGCUGCUUACAUAUUAGGCAUAAAGAUCUAUAGAGAUAGAUCAAAACGCUUAAUUGGACUUUCACAGAGCACAUACCUUGACAAGAUUUUGAAGAAGUUCAAAAUGGAUCAAGCAAAGAAAGGGUUCUUGCCUGUGUUACAAGGUAUGAAGUUGAGUCAGACUCAAUGCCCGACCACUGCAAAAGAUAGAGAGAAAAAGAAAGAUGUUCCCUAUGCUUCAGCCAUAGGCUCUAUCAUGUAUGCAAUGCUGUGUACCAUACCUGAUGUGUGCCUUGCUAUAAGUUUAGCAGGGAGGUACCAAAGUAAUCCAGGAAUGGAUCACUGGACAGCGGUCAAGAACAUCCUGAAAUACCUGAAAAGGACUAAGGAUAUGUUUCUCGUAUAUGGAGGUGACAAAGAGCUCACUGUAAGAGGUUACAUUGAUGCAAGCUUUGACACUGAUCCGGACGAUUCUAAAUCGCAAACCGGAUACAUGCUUACUUUAAACGGUGGAGCUGUCAGUUGGUGCAGUUCUAAACAAAGCGUCGUAGCGGGAUCUACAUGUGAAGCGGAGUACAUAGCUACUUCAGAAGCAGCAAACGAAGGAGUCUGGAUGAAGGAGUUCAUAUCCGAUCUAGGUGUCAUACCUAGUGCAUCGGGUCCAAUGAAAAUCUUCUGUGACAAUACUGGUGCAAUUGCCUUGGCAAAGGAAUCCAGAUUUCACAAAAGGACCAAACACAUCAAGAGACGCUUCAACUCCAUCCGGGAUUUAGUCCAGGUGGGAGACAUAGAGAUUUGCAAGAUACAUACGGAUCUGAACGUUGCAGACCCGUUGACUAAGCCUCUUCCACGAGCAAAACAUGAUCAGCACCAAGGCUCCAUGGGUGUUAGAAUCAUUACAGUGUAAUCUAGAUUAUUGACUGUAGUGCAAGUGGGAGACUGAAGGAAAUAUGCCCUAGAGGCAAUAAUAAAGUUAUUAUUUAUUUCCUUAUAUCAUGAUAAAUGUUUAUUAUUCAUGCUAGAAUUGUAUUAACCGGAAACAUGAUACAUGUGUGAAUACAUAGACCAACAGAGUGUCACUAGUAUGCCUCUACUUGACUAGCUCGUUAAUCAAAGAUGGUUAUGUUUCCUAACCAUGAACAAAGAGUUGUUAUUUGAUUAACGAGGUCACAUCAUUAGUUGAAUGAUCUGAUCGACAUGACCCAUUCCAUUAGCUUAGCACCCGAUCGUUUAGUAUGUUGCUAUUGCUUUCUUCAUGACUUAUACAUGUUCCUAUAACUAUGAGAUUAUGCAACUCCCGUUUACCGGAGGAACACUUUGGGUACUACCAAACGUCACAACGUAACUGGGUGAUUAUAAAGGAGUACUACAGGUGUCUCCAAUGGUAGAUGUUGGGUUGGCGUAUUUCGAGAUUAGGGUUUGUCACUCCGAUUGUCGGAGAGGUAUCUCUGGGCCCUCUCGGUAAUGCACAUCACAUAAGCCUUGCAAGCACUGCAACUAAUAUGUUAGUUGUGAGAUGAUGUAUUACGGAACGAGUAAAGAGACUUGCCAGUAACGAGAUUGAACUAGGUAUUGGAUACCGACGAUCGAAUCUCGGGCAAGUAACAUACCGAUGACAAAGGGAACAACGUAUGUUGUUAUGCGGUCUGACCGAUAAAGAUCUUCGUAGAAUAUGUAGGAGCCAAUAUGGGCAUCCAGGUCCCGCUAUUGGUUAUUGACCGGAGACGUGUCUCGGUCAUGUCUACAUUGUUCUCGAACCGUAGGGUCCGCACGCUUAACGUUACGAUGACAGUUAUUAUGAGUUUAUGCAUUUUGAUGUACCGAAGGUUGUUCGGAGUCCCAGAUGAGAUCACAGACUUGACGAGGAGUCUCGAAAUGGUCGAGACGUAAAGAUUGAUAUAUUGGAAGCCUAUGUUUGGACAUAGGAAGUGUUCCGGGUGAAAUCGGGAUUUUACCGGAAUACCGGGAGGGUUACCGGAACCCCCCGGGAGACUAAUGGGCCUAUUGGGCCUUAGUGGAAAAAGAGAAAAGGGGCANNNNNNNNNNNNNNNNNNNNNNNNNNNNNNNNNNNNNNNNNNNNNNNNNNNNNNNNNNNNNNNNNNNNNNNNNNNNNNNNNNNNNNNNNNNNNNNNNNNNNNNNNNNNNNNNNNNNNNNNNNNNNNNNNNNNNNNNNNNNNNNNNNNNNNNNNNNNNNNNNNNNNNNNNNNNNNNNNNNNNNNNNNNNNNNNNNNNNNNNNNNNNNNNNNNNNNNNNNNNNNNNNNNNNNNNNNNNNNNNNNNNNNNNNNNNNNNNNNNNNNNNNNNNNNNNNNNNNNNNNNNNNNNNNNNNNNNNNNNNNNNNNNNNNNNNNNNNNNNNNNNNNNNNNNNNNNNNNNNNNNNNNNNNNNNNNNNNNNNNNNNNNNNNNNNNNNNNNNNNNNNNNNNNNNNNNNNNNNNNNNNNNNNNNNNNNNNNNNNNNNNNNNNNNNNNNUUUCCCCGAGAGUCCUAAUUGGAAUAGGAUUGGAGGGGGGAGUCCUACUCCCGGUGGGAGUAGGACUCCCCCUGCGCCUCCCUCUCCCUGGCCGGCCGGCCCCCCCUCCUCCAACCUUUAUAUACGGGGGCAAGGGACACCCCAAGACACACAAGUUGAUCCUUGAGAUCGUUCCUUAGCCGUGUGCGGUGCCCCCUGCCACCAAAUUCCACCUCGAUCAUACCGUUACAGUGCUUAGGCGAAGCCCUGCGUCGGUAGUACAUCAAGAUCGUCACCACGCCGUCGUGCUGACGGAACUCUUCCUCGACGCUUUGCUGGAUCGGAGCCCGAGGAACGUCAUCGAGCUGAACAUGUGCUAAGAACUCGGAGGUGCCGGAGUAACGGUGCUUGGAUCGGUCGGAUCGGAAAGAAGACGUACGACUACUUCCUCUACGUUGUGUGAUCGCUUCCGCAGUCAGUCUGCGUUGGUACGUAGACAACACUCUCCCCUCUCGUUGCUGUGCAUCACCAUGAUCUUGAGUGUGCGUAGGAAAAUUUUCGAAAUUACUGCGUUCCCCAACAAUAAUAAACAUUUAUCAUGAUAUAAGGAAAUAAAUAAUAACUUUAUUAUUUCCUCUAGGGCAUAUUUCCUUCAUUCAUCCCAUACCAUUUGAACAGGGCAUGAAUUCUUUUGUAAGUCACAGGAAAACCAGAAUGCCCACCAACUGGAGUAACAUGAAAAGCAUUGCAAAUCUUAGCUUGCAGUUGUACAUCAUUGCCAAUCCAUAUGGAGUUGUUGUACCUGAUUAAUCCAUUAACCAAGAUAUAGGAAGGUUUGGAUGCUGGGUCCACAGCCAAUUGUUGCAACAACUCUUGAGCUUUAGGAUCUUGUUGAGAGCUGUCCACAAUUUCCUGUAACCAAGAGGGCUGAGAAGAAGAGAUGGGCAUGGCUUGAGAGGGAGGAUGAGGUCUCCUGGAUAAAGCAUCUGCAGCAGAGUUAUAUGUGCCCUUUUUGUACAAGAUCUUAUCAUUGAGACCAAGGAGUUUGGUGAACACUUUCUGCUGCCAGGGUGUAUGCAACCUUUGAUCAGAUAAAUGAGUCAGGCUUUUCUGAUCUGUUUUGACCACAAACUCUUGAAAUUGCAAAUAGGGCCUCCACUGUUCCACUGCCAGAAGAAUAGCUAGAUAUUCUUUUUCAUAAACAGAUAAUCCUCUGUUCUUUGGACCUAAGGCUCUACUGACAAAUGCAAGAGGAUGCCCUUUUUGCAUAAGUACUGCUCCUAUACCAGUAUCACAAGCAUCAGUCUCCAAUACAAAUGGCAAGGAGAAAUCAGGGAGGGCCAUGUCAGGUGCUUGUACUAGAGCUUCCUUGAGAGUGACAAAAGCAGUUUUAGCAGCCUGGGUCCACACAAACAAUGUGCCUUUCCUUAAUAGUUCAGUCAAGCGUUUACUAAUCACACCAUAGUUUCUAAUGAAUUUCCUGUAGUACCCAGUGAGGCCCAAAAAACCCCUAAUCUCUUUUACAUUGACAGGAGUGAGCUAGUUCUGAACUGCUAGAAUUUUACAAGGAUCAGUAGAAACCCCUUUGUCACUGAUGACAUGACCCAAAUAAGCAAUUUGCUACUGUGCAAAGGAACACUUGCUCAACUUGACUUUCCAUUGCUUUUCUUGCAAGGUGCUGAGGACCUUUUCCACAUGCAAUAGAUGUUCCUUCAAGGUUUUACUGAAAAUCAGGAUAUCAUCAAAAAUACCAGAACAAAUUCCCUGAGUGCAGGUAGAUCAGAAUUCAUAGCACCUUGGAAUGUACCAGGAGCUUCAGACAGUCCAAAACCCAUGACCAAGAGCUCAUAAUGACCUUAAUGAGUUUGAAAUGCAGUUUUAAACUCUUCACCAGGGGCCAUUCUAAUUUGGUGGUAGCCUGCCCUUAAGUCCAGUUUAGUAAACCAGCAAGCACCAUGCAAUUCAUCCAGUAACUCAUCUAUCAUAGGUAUAGGAUAUUUUCCCUUCACUGUUAUAGCAUUCAAAUGCCUGUAGUCCACUACCAUGCGCCAAGUGCCAUCCUUCUUCUUGACCAUCAGCACAGGAGAGGAAAAGGGGCCACGACUUAGUCUGAUCAUACCAUUUUUCAGUAACUCUUUUACUUGUUUUUCCAUCUCUGUUUUCAAGUGGGGAGCCACUCUAUAAGGUCUGACAGCCACUAGUGUAGCAACCGGUAUAAGUGGUAUAGUAUGGUCAUACUACCUCCUAGGUGGCAGUCCUUUUGGUUCAUCAAAUACAGAAGAAAUUUUUUUCCAACAGUGCUUGUACUUCAGGAAUGUGAGAAUUGGUUUCUUUGUUUUCUGUGUCAGCCAAUUCCACACUCAUAACUGUAAAAGUGCAGUCAUCAGGUAGUACACCUUGUAAUGUGACCCAGUUUCCUUGAGACUGGAAUGAAAACCAUUUUUGAUCCCAAUCUAUCACCAUUAGACUAUGGUUUGAUAGCCAAUCAAGUCCCAAAAUUCCAUCAUAGUUGCCUAACUGAAGAAAUCUGAAGUCUGAUUUGAAUUCAUUAUUCUGACAAGACCAACUACAUUGCUUCACUAUCUGGGAGCAGUACAACUUAGCACCACCUGCUAUCUGGGAGCUAUAUUAUCUACUGUUUUGGACUAUAUUGGGCUUUAUUUUCCACUUUUAUAUUAUUUUUGGGACUAACCUAUUAACCGAAGGCCCAGCCCAGAAUUGUUGUUUUUUUGCCUAUUUCGGUGUUUCGAAGAAACGAAAUAUCAAACGGAGUCCAAACGGAAUAAAAUCUUCGGGAACGUGAUUUUGUCACCGAACGUGAUCCAGGAGACUUGGACCCUGCUCCAAGGAACAAAAGAGGCGGUCACGAGGGUGGGGGGCGCCCCCCUAGGGCGCGCCGUCCUGCCUCGUGGGCCCCUUGUUGCUCCUCCAGCAUACUUCUUCCUCCUGUAUAUACACACGUACCCCAAACGAUCAGAACAGGAGCCAAAAACCUAAUUCCACCGUCGCAACUUUCUGUAUCCACGAGAUCCCAUCUUGGGGCCUGUUCUGGAGCUCCGCCGGAAGAGGGCCGUCAUCACGGAGGGCUUCUACAUCAUGAUAGCCUCUCCGAUGAAGUGUGAGUAGUUUACCUCAGACCUUUGGCUCCAUAGUUAGUAGCUAGAUGGCUUCUUCUCUCUCUUUAAAUCUCAAUACAAAGUUCUCCCCCUCUCUUGUGGAGAUCUAUUCGAUGUAAUCUUCUUUUUGCGGUGUGUUUGUUGAGACCGAUGAAUUGUGGGUUUAUGAUCAAGUCUAUCUAUGAAUAAUAUUUGAAUCUUCUCUGAAUUCUUUUAUGUAUGAUUGGUUAUCUUUGCAAGUCUCUUCGAAUUAUCCGUUUGGUUUGGCCAACUAGAUUGGUAGUUCUUGCCAUGGGAGAAGUGCUUAGCUUUGGGUUCGAUCUUGCGGUGUCCUUACCCAGUGACAGAAGGGGCAGCAAGGCACGUAUUGUAUCGUUUCCAUCGAGGAUAACAAGAUAGGGUUUAUUUCAUAUUGCAUGAAUUUAUCUCUCUACAUCAUGUCAUCUUGCUUAAGGUGUUACUCUGUUUUUAACUUAAUACUCUAGAUGCAUGCUGGAUAGCGGUCGAUGAGUGGAGUAAUAUUAGUAGAUGCAGAAUCGUUUCGAUCUACUUGUCACGGACGUGAUGCCUAUAUACAUGAUCAUGCCUAGAUAUUCUCAUAACUAUGCUCAAUUCUGUCAAUUGCUCAACAGUAAUUUGUUCACCCACCAUAGAAUACUUAUGCUCUUGAGAGAAGCCACUAGUGAAACCUAUGGCCCCCGGGUCUAUUCUCAUCAUAUCAAUGUCCAUCACUUUAAUCUUGCUUUGCUUUUUUACUUUGCAUCUUUAUACCAAAAAUACCAAAAAUAUUAUAUCUAUCAGAUCUCACUCUCGUAAGUGAUCGUGAAGGGAUUGACAACCCGUAAUCGCGUUGGUUGCGAGUAGCUAUCGCUUUGUGCAGGUACGAGGGACUUGAGCGUGGGCUCCUACUGGAUUGAUACCUUGGUUCUCAAAAACUGAGGGAAAUACUUACGCUACUCUGCUGCAUCAUCCCUUCCUCGUCGGGGAAAACCAACGCAAGCUCAAGACGUAGCAAGUCACUAUCAGACGACUCCUGAUAGAAUGAAGCAGUACUUUGGGUGUGUUCAAUCAUCUCCUGCACUAUAUGGAGUUGAACAGAAGAUUUGUAUUGGUGGUCCUUGGACCAUUUCUCUCCACAGGUGAAACAUAACCCCUUUGAUUUCCUGUAGGUGCGCAACGUGAUCCACUUAUCCUCUGAGGAAGCGCCCUUGCCGUUCUCAAUAGGCCUCCUGUCAGCAGCAACUAGAGCUCUCUGAAUUGUCGAAGCUGCUGUCAUUGUCUUCUUGAAUUGAAACGGAGAGGAGUUUGUGUCACUUAAUUCUUCAUGGAGAAAGGCUGUGUCAUAAGCUGUGUCCAGGUCCUGACGUUUCUGCAGAGCAACUGACAUCCUCACACCCGGCUUGAGGCCAUCGAUGAAACAAGUGGUAUAGUACAGACUGUCAGGCACAUCCUCAUAAGCUGAAAGCUGGUCAUAUAGUUCUGUAAAUCGUUCCACAUAAUCUGUCACUGUCGAUUCCUGAGCAAUUCUGAACAUCUGUCUCACCAGGGUCUGAUGUUGAUUGCGACCGAAUCUGUUCAAUAACAGCUGACAGAACUUUGUCCAGGACAAAUUCGGUGAUCUACGCUGUACUGCCUCGAGCCAUCUAGCUGCUGCACCAUCAAACUUGGACGUGGUGAAGGAAAUCCACCUUGCUGCUGGAGUACCCCAUAGCUUGAAACAGUCCUUGCAGCGCGAUUGCCACAGUCGCGGAUUCGAGCCAUCGAAACGCGGUAGUUCCACAACGGGAGCAGAUUGGUACAGGUCAGAGACGUCCGAUGCAGCGAAAUCUCGAGGAGAAAAAAUUUCACGGGGAGAAACGGAAUCACACGCACCUCUGACCGGAGGAGGCACAUAAACCUGAUGCGCCUUCCCCCGGUGAAACUUGUCGAAGCCAAGGGGAUCUGUCGCCGUCGAAUCGCGGCCGCCCCCAACUUCCUUGCUGGUCGACGGGCUCGUCUGCUUGCACAGAAUCUCCUCCUUGCCGCAGCGCUCGAGUUCCACACGGAUUUGUUCAACGUCGAGGUUGAACUCGGAUCUAGCACCGUCGAUUCGCGCCGUGACGAGGCCGUCGAGCGCCAUCGUCGUCUCCUUGAGCAUUUUGCCGACGGACUUGAUGAUCUCCUCGCCGUGCGCCUUGAAGCGUUGAUCCAGCACCUCGGCGAAGGCCGCACGAAGCAGCUCCUGGAUCUCUCACCCCUCGGACGACAGCUUGUCCAUGGCGGCGCUCUGCUGCUGGAGCUUGAAACGCGUGGCGUGGACGUGGCUUGGGAUCUCCAGGAUCAGAAAGCUCCGAUACCAGAUGUAAGGAUCCUGCUACCUCCAUGAACGAGAUCUAGGUUUGAAUUUGGUUUAGCUGUCCUGCCAACCACCCACACAACAAUUCAAAUUACAAAUCACACACACACACGCUUGAGCCAGGCCGAAGCCUCCCGUUCCUUCCUGUCCUUUACUGAUGACGACGGGAAGUAUUUAAACCCUCUCUACCGUUACACCCGCUUAGCGGGCCUAGUCUGGGCUUGCAAGCCAUUGGGGAACCCUCUUGUUACGGAUGGGCCGGCCUGCCGGCCCAUGACUUGAGUUGCUCGCUUCCCGCGUCUCUUCUCGAUCAGCAUCAUCUUCAGUGUUGACGAUCGGGCUGCUGAUAAACAAUCACCGAUAAAAUUGUUGAACAUCUUCGUGGAGUCGAGGAGAUCCGCAUCAGUUGUCUUAUAAUAGAUGUCCUUGGUCAGGAUCUCGAACUCUGCCUCAUAAAUCUUCUGGGUCGCCAUGGCGAGGGCGACGGUCCUGCCGAUCUUGAGGUGGUCGUCGCCUCUCAUGAUGAACCUGAGCUUCAGCAUGCGGAUGGGGAUCCGAGGAGACCUCGUGCUCAGGAUCUUGUCCGCCACGUCGGCCACAUCACAGUUCUUCCAGAGUAGAUCGCCGUCGCUGAGGUCGAUGACGAUCUGCGAGAGCAAGGCCGGCAGGUUGAGCGUUUGCUUGGAGAUGAGGCAGGCCCUGACAGCGUCGAGCGCGCCGACCCUCUCCAAGAUGUUGAGCAGCACAUGGUCGGGCAGUUUGAUUAGCCUGUCGACUUUCAACAGCUGGAUAGAUAGAUUAAUAAGUUAAAUGAUUCAUGCACAAGAAUUUGAGGAGGAACACAAGCAACGGGGGUUUACAUCACGGCGGUGGCGGCGAACCCGGUUGAGCUUCAUGGCGGUCUGAUCUCCAGGAACAACGAAGUGGCAAAUGGUGGCUCAGCUUACAUCGCGGCGGCGGAAAUCGCCUGCACGGUCCUUCCUUAGGUGCGAUGCUCAAGAUUGCAGACGUUUAUAUGGCAGCCUCCUCUGACUUCAACAUUGUCAGUCAGUCCCCACUAUCCUUCUGGCAUUGCAUGUUCUUGGCGCUGUCGGCACCUUGGCGUCUAUCAUGUACGUGCCGCCGGGUCGAGACGCACGCUGCAGGGUAAGACGUAGACAUGUGGAUCUUCGUUUUGUGAACUUCACGUCAUGAUUUGCAAGCAGAGCAUCGGGCUACAGCUGCCGUUCGUGCCGCGCAAGCUCCAGUGGGGAACACAUUGUUCGCUCCGCUGCUGGCGUGCGUGCGCCCCGCUGCCGCGGGCCAGGGGGGCAUGCCCAUUGUCCAUUGAGCAAGGAGAUGGUGAAGGAGAUGAAAGAGUUGUCAGCGAUCGUCGUCGGGCUCGACGGCUCGUCCGCGGCGGCGAUGGUGUGCGGCAUGCAUGGAGUGGGGUGGCGUGUUGCGGGGAUGAGCACGUAGCAGGAGAAGACGUAGGGGAGACGGGUGAUAUGGCAAUACGUGGAUUGUCUGCUUGUUUUUUUAGAUAAAAGAGGCACCGGGAGGAGAAAAUGAUGCGGCCGUUGGAUGGUAAUUGAACGAGUCGGGAGUACGGAUGGGAGCACGACAAGAGAGCAGGCAAGCCCUUCUUGGUCUGUUAUUUUUUUCUUUCUAAAUGCAACUAUUUUUUCUUUCUACAAAGAUAAUUUACGAUCUAUUCAUCAACUGUAAGCUAGUAGUAGUACAAAGAACACUAAAAGGAAAAAAAUACAUCUAGAUUUGUAUAGAUCAUCUAGCGACAAGCUACAAGCAUUGGAGUUGUUAAAAUAAAUCCGAGGCACUCCGUCGAUCAUCCGAGGACUAAGCAAUCACACGAGCACGACACUGAUAUUCGUUAACGAGCUUCAUCGAUAUGGCUACGUCCCCGGAGCCUGACUACGGGCGCUCUUUCCCGUGACACCGUCACAAUACCGCACCCGGUCGCCCUGAACGCCAGCACAUGCCGCCGGCUUCCCCCUGCAUUUUGGUGCUAUUAUGUUGGCAUAGGUUACAUCGUGUGUCUAGCCUCGCUAUAUAUGAGAGGCUUAGGAUACAAGUGUCCUACUAGGACACGACUCCAUAUCCUAUCUAAACACAAUACAACUGCAAGUCCAACUUAACCUACCUUGUACACUAUAUUCGACACAACUUCAACAAACUCCACCUUGGCGAAUAUUCUCCACCACUUUAAAUUCGUCAAUGCAUCAAACUUUCAUGUACAUUGAACUUGAGCUUAUCCCGUGAGUACCGCUGCUACUCCAAAGACUCCAUGUGACUCCACCUGCAACUUGUAGUCCCAUCAUUUCUUGACAACAGUCAACACUCGAGCAAAAUUAAGUUCCUUGUUACUCUAGUUUGUGUUCCUAACUUCCAGAGUAUUCGUCCAACGCCAUCACACACUGAUCACUGACCUGCGUGAAAGUGAAUAACUCACAUAUUGGGUGUCACACAUAAGAGUUACCUGAACUCAACAUCACUGCUCCUUUCUUGACCGUCUGUAUGAAACCUGAAGGAAUUUCACCAUUUUUUGUAGUCAUCCCGAGUCAAAUUCACAGUUGUCUCACCACAUGUAUGACCACCAGAGCCCUGGCCCGUCUCCAUGUCCCAUGCAUACCGCACGCCUCACCGCUAUUAUCGCGUCGAGCCUCCGCUGUCCCGGUCGAGUCUCAAGGGUCGCGAACCCACACCACUCAAGCCCCACUACAAAGUACCACCGAUCAUCACCGACCGAUGAUGAGUUUCAGGCUUCCAUCAGACCACUGGGUUCCAGUCCAAACUACGUGUCACUCGCUUUUCUCCCUUGCCGAAUAGGCUUCGAUUCUCUGGAUCCUUACACCGUAGCCCCUCAAUCCAGCUCCACCUUCAACAUGACUCCAUGGUAGAUGAUCAGUCCACCCUCGCACCUCAUCGACUUCAAGCUCCGUGUAUACACCACCUUGAAUCAAUCCCGCGCCAUAGUCUUGUCGAAGCCACACAAGCCCUCGGGCCUGCGCCACGUGUUUCCACGCCCCAGAAGUCGGUCACUAUCAGCAUCGCGCACCUAUGUCGUCGUCGCCGAUUCCAUCACCGUCUUCUGUACCAACCGACUUGCCGCCGGCUUCCCCCGCGUUCCGGUGCUGUUAUGUUGGCAUAGGUUACAUCGUGUGUCUAGUCCCGCUAUAUAUGAGAGGCCUAGGAUACAAGUGUCCUAUUAGGACACGACUCCAUAUCCUAUCUAAACACAAUACAACUACAAGUCCAACUGUAACCUACCUUGUACACUAUAUUCGACACAACUCCAACAGGAGCGAGCCGAAGGCGCGCCAUCGUCUUUGCCUCUUCCACAUUGAACCCCGACAAACCUUUUUAUAGUAAACAGUCAAAAAGUCAUCGUGCUAAGGCCUCAUAAGGCCAGCCCGCCAGAAUGCAGCAACGCUACCGAUGAAGAGAAGUAUAGAUCGAAAGGAUCUAACCUAUAGACCCAGGCACAUAGAAGAAUAAAGACAUGAUCCACGUGGAUUUCACUGAAGACAAACGCCGCCCGAAUCAUGUGAGAUCUGCCGGAGAGAAAACUUCACACAUCCAACGACGAUACUAGAAACACACCGGGACGGUAACUAUGCGGGGAAAAACUUAUUCCCUUUUCAGAGAGCCGCUGCCGCCUCACCUCUCUAAGCAGAACAUAAACCCUAACAAAACUCAAAAGAUUAUGAAAAAAUCAAGCCCUCCCGCCGGCAAAGGCAAAGAUCCACCGCGCGUACAUUGGCCCUAAGACCACAGAAAAAGGAGGUAGACCAAGGACGGCACUGGCCAGAGGCAUUGUCGAUGUUGCACGAUGCCACGACAACAUCACCAGUGUUGUGGAUGUCACCGUGCAACUUCGCCGACGUUGCCAUUGAUGCCACAAAACAUCGCCUGUGUUGCGGAAGCACCGGGCAACACACAUCACCUUGUAGUUGUAGCACCCGAGCGGAUCGGCUUGUACAACAACUUGGGGCUUGCUACACCGGCAUCCCCUGACCACUCCAUUGCGGCGGCAUUCGGUGGCUCGGUGCCCCCAGCCUGCCAUACCCCAGUGACGGGCAGUACCUCUCCUUGGAGCAGUAGGCGUCUUUUUUUUAGAGUAUUUUUCGGAUGAAGCAGUAGGCGUCUUGCGUAGAGUAGCUGGGGAAGAGUUAACAAAAAUACCACGCAUCAAAAUUGUUCAUAGUAUAUGUUUUCAGCGUGUAUUUUAAAAUUGAUCUUUGUGUUUGAAAAAUAUUUCCUCAUAUAUUUUAAAAAUAGGUUCGCCGUGUACUUGAAAAUGUUCAUCCUGUAUAUGCAAAAUGUUCAUUGUGUCUUAAAAAUACUUCGCCAUGUCUUCAAACUUUUCUUAUGUACUUUAAAAAUGUCCAUCAUGCUUUAAAAAUAUAUUCAUCGUAUAUGCUCAUCGUGUCUUACAAAUGUCCCUUGUAUAUUCAAAAUAUCCAUCAUGUAUUUUAAAAAUGUUCAUCGUGUAUUAGAGAAGUACCAUGCAUCAAAAUUGUUGAUGCUGUAUCUAGAAAAUGUUCAUCGUGCAUUUUAAAAAUGGUCAUGUUGUGCGUGGUGCUGGAAACAAACAAGCACGAAAAAUACGGAGUUUUGUUUACACUUCAGGAUCGCCUUGUGCUUGGGUGCUCCUAUCAUUCUGAAGAAUUCGGUGAAAUCCAUGGAAACGAACAAUUUUUCAAAUUCAUGAAGAUGCCCACAUAUAUAUGUCAGGUUCCGGAUGAAAAUCUUAAGCUAAGACUUCCAGUGCUACUUCGUAUCAUUCAGCAAGCAGUUUAAACCUGUGAACCUGUCGAAACAAAAGAAGCCACUGAUCAAUGCUGGAAAUAAACCUUGCGGCUUCAGAAACUUCAGUUCUGUAGGUUCAGUUUCAGGUGUCGUUUUCUUCAGUUUCGUCAGUUGGCAGAUUUGUUAGUUAGAAGGUUUAGCUCGCAGGCUUGACAACCUGGAGUGGAUGAGGAUGGUGCAUAGUCGCGGCCACUAGCCCCAUUUCCUUUUCUGUAAUCUGCAUAAAUAGAAGAGAAUAAAGAGCAGAAAAGCCGCAGAAGUUUGAGCAGCCCGAAACCUCUUCUUCUACCUCUCGAACUUUUGCUAUGAAACUGAAAUGCAUCCUGAGCCCGCUCAAUAAGAUAGCAUGCCAAGUGAUAUGCCAAAGACUUAGUCAUUAGUCAACGGUAGAAGUAAAAUAAACUGAAGCCACUGAAACUGAAUUCCCUCAAAAAGUAAAUAAAAGCCACUGAAACUGAAGCAGUUCCCCUGGAAAGCAAAGUUUGCAUUCUUAGUACAGUGAGAAGUAAAACUCAUUUCACAAUGAAAACCAGGUUCAAGCAUUUAUCAGGAAUAAGAAAUAUCCACGAUAUCCAUUUGAUAAGAUACUUGACAAUAAUGUUUAGAGUAAACCUUAUCCUCCUCGACUCAGUACGAUCUCAAAAUACACAUAAUUGAAAAGGUUCACUAGUGACAAUUAAUCCAUGAAUCAUACGACAGUUUCUGUAAACUGAAGCUUGCAGUGCAAGAGCAUUAUUAUUUUCAGAAGACUUGCCCCAAACUCGGAAAGUGAAUCCGGACAUGCGAGGGUAUCUCCUUGCUGAAUUCGUAGCUAAGCCAAGACGUCUCCUCAAAUGUCCACUCCUUAAGCAUGUGCUUGCACCUAACACACACUGGACUCUUGUAUAGUCUUAUAUUCUCCAGAUUCACAGCUGCUUCCACGACAUCUCUGGCAAAUCGCACUAGUUUGUCUGCUGCAUGAAACCUCCCAUAGAUACCGAGCUCUGCCAGGUUGUGGUGCUUGAAAUCAGAUGCAGAUGGUUCCCACUCUAGUCCCUUGUCCUUCUCCUUGCAAACCACAGGCAACUCCCUCCGCUUCCCUGUUAUCAUUUCACAUUGAUGAUUCCGCACCUGCAUUCGGUCAGGUCAAAAAAAAAAUUCCUAACUGGUCACACAAAGUUUGAACAUCGAAAAUGAGAAUUGGAGAAUCGGUACAAGAGUUCACCAAGAUGUGUAGUUCCUUAAGGUUGGGUGCGCCAUGGAGUAAGAACAUUGUCCAAGUCAGAUCACACUCUUCAGCAAUGUUAAUCCAAUUCACAAUCCUGAGUUUGUGGAACACCGGUAACAAUUGUCUACGACCUUCCGGUUUGACCCAAAUCUGCAAAAGAUGUAGUAAUGUAGGAUCAUGUUAACCAAAAAAUAAUGAUUACAACCUCCCCACGACAUGGCCAGCAAAACAUAUACACGUCGCUGACAACAUUGAGGACCUUCACUAACCUUUUCGCUUUUGAAGUCCAAAGACAGAUUGCUUAUGGCAGAGUUACCAAGCAACUCACUUAACUUGAGCAUCUUGUGCCAAGUGAAAGCAACAUUAAUGAUGGACACAGUCUGGAGCAGUGGGACAUAGCCAAGACAGAAGGGGUCAUCCCGAGAUCUAAACACAUUAAAUUUCAGUUUUGUGAGCUUUGGUACCCACUUCAGAUCAACCCUCUCAAAACGGCCACAGACAAUCACUAGUUCACUGAGUUGCGGGUGUUCCACUUCCAGCAAAGACUUAAUACCCAUGUCACAUUCGUAGAGGGAGAGGAACUCCAGUUGCUUGCAUAUACUGAAAAUCUUGGGGAAACCUGAUUCUCCUAACCUCAAAUUCUCUAGCGUGAGGCGUGCAAGACCACCAAAUGCGUUUGGACAUGAAUCAAAGAAUGACAUGAAUUGCUUCCCAUAUAUGAGCAGCUCAUUCUUGGUACACUUCUUACGCACCUUCGUCAAGAUUGUAAACUCAGCUGAAUCAACCUUUUGUGUUGCUAUGGCAUUGGCAACAGUCUGGCCAAUUAAAAUGGACUCAUCUCCCAAGUAGAAUUGCAUGCGCAACAGGUGAAUGGGGUACAGACUUCCAGCUCUCCUUUCCAGUAUGCUCCUGGUUGCUUCCAGCACGGUGGUGUUGGCCCGAACUAUAUCAUCUGGGGUUAACUUGCUCCAGUCUUCGUGCUUCGGCUCAAAAGAACCAGCCAAUAUAACAACUUUCGAGAGUAUAGCAGGGAUCUGCUUCCAACGUCUGGAGAGGACGGUGGUUCGUGCGACGUCAACGAUACCAAGUCGCUCGACAAUGUUGAGCAAAACGUCAUCAGGCAACUUGCUGAGCCGAUCAUCUUGACUGUCCUCCUACAUUUGAUAAGGAAACAAAUCAGAGUUGAUUUCUUGUUAGCAUCAUCAUUCAUAGAUGCCUGUGAAGCACGGAUACGGACAAAUCUGCCAUUUCCACGUACAUAAGGCCGCUUAUAGAGAGGAUGAUCCAGCUAGAGCUCAAAGGGUGACAACACCAACACCACCAUGUUCGCCAUCACCGGAGAGGUUUUGCGAUGUCUCGGGACUUGCUGGCCUCCGGCGAAUUCUAGUGACUGCCAGGGAGACCACCGCUUGGCAGGGGCAGAGCUAGCAAUUGACAACAGGAUGGUCCGCCUCAAAAGAAUUGACAACAAAUAUGACAUGUAAAGAUUGUAACUAAUUGCAAAUUACCACAUAGAAAUAGAUUAAUAUGGUCUUACAAACACACUAAUCAGAGGUUGGGGAACUGGAAAAUGGUACCUCAAAUCAGGCUGAGACGAGUGCCGGAGUGAAGACCGGGCGGUGGGCGGCUGCGGCCGGGGCAGGGCAACAGGGUUGCGGCCACGGGUGGUGGCGCGGCGGGCUCCGAGCGACGGGGUUUUUUUUCAUACCUACAUGAAUGUCAUGUCAUCACAAAAAUUUGCAGCAAGCUAAAACUUUCAUCAAUGUUUAUAAAAAAAUCAGAAUUUGUUUACUAUUAUUUUGGAUUUUAUUGUUCAUCAAGGAGCAUGUGAGCUCGGAUUCAAAUACUCCGCGUGCAAGAAAAGUAUACUUUUCCCCCUCAAAUCCAUAUAGAUGGAUCAAAUACCACCCAAAGUCUAAAACCGGUUAAAUCACCCCCAAACUCUGCAAUACCGGAUCCAUAAGCCUCUCAAGUGGUUUUGGGAAGGAUUACAACCGGUUUGACUAUAGGUUGUUGACUUGUCAUUUCACUUGUGCCCCGUGACGCCAUGUUCUUGAUGACCGAGCAUCUCGCCGGGCAAGUAAUGGCUCUGACCAUCCAUCCAGGGUGAGGUUGUUGGCGCUAGUGCCGCGGGGAUUGUACCCGAGUGCGUGGUCACCAGGGCUCAGGAGGUGCCCAAGGUGCGCCCUCACGGUGAUGAUGGUGUCGCUCCUGCCCAGCUCCGACGAGCGCAUCGAGCUGCCUCGCCGCGUCCGCCAUGCACGACAGCAGGAGGACGGCGACGAUGGCCAUGAGGGCGGCUCAGGACCACGACGCAAAACAGAAGUCGACAUCGCCGGCGAGGCAGCAUUUAAUUUUUAAAAACUUGAACAGUUUUUUCAAAACAUAAACAACUUUUGAAAUUGAGAACAUUUUUUGAAACAUGAAAAGAAAUUAAAGCGUGAACUUUCUUUAAAAAAUAUGAAAAAAUAAUUAAAUUGAGCACAUUUUUUGAAAAAAUUGAACACUUUCUGGAAUUAAAAAAACAAACAGUCUUUGAAUUCCAAAAAAAUGAUUUUUUAGAACAUGAACAUUACAAAAACAAACAGUCUUUGAAAUUCCAAAAAAAAUGAUUUUUUAAGAACGUGAACAAAAUUUUGAAGCUUUUGAAAAAAACAAACAUCUUUUAAAAUUUUGAUUUUUUUUAAACAUACAUGAUAUUUUUUGCAAGUUUUAUAAAAAGAAAAGAAAAAACAGUAACAACGAAAAAGAGAAAACUUGGGAAAAACCAUCAAGAAAACAACAGGAAACCAUCAAGAAUUGGGAUCUCUUGCCCGUACCCUAGCUAUUGAGCCGGCCCAUAUGGCUGUCACUGUGCAAAGCAGCGACAUUUUGCCCGGGAGCUCCCAAGGGUGUGUUUGAUAGCAUGUAUGGAACUAGCCUAGUUGUUCUCAUGUCAUACAUGCUGAGUGUAGACAUGCUGAGUCCAUGCAGUUGCUGUUGUUUGGCAGUGAUGUAUGCGUUGAGACAUGCUGAGCUGAGAUUUUGUUUGGUAGCCUGCAUGUGUUUAGACAUGCUGAACAAUUUCAAAUUCUGAAUAUAUUUUUUGAAUGAUGAACAAAAUCGAAAAAAUCUCAACACAAAUUUAAACAUAUUUUGAAAAUUUAAAUAAAAUUUGAUAUUCUAAACUUUUUUGGAAAAUUAAAAUAAAUUUUGAAAUUCUUUUUUUAAUUUGAACAUAUUUGAAAUUACGAGUUUUUUUGAAAAUUUAAAUAAAAUUUGAAAAUUUUAUAAAAAAAAUAAAAUUCUAUUUUUUCAAAAUUCAAACAAAUUUUGAUUUCCUUUUGAAAUUCUGAACAUUUACAAUUUUUUUAGAAAAAAAUGAAAUUUCAAAUAUUUAAUGAAAAUUCAAACAAAUUUUGAAAUUAUGAUUUUUUUGAAAAUUUAAACAAUUUUGAAAUUCAAACUUUUCAUUUUUUCUGAAAUUCUAAGGUUUUUCGAAAAUUUAAACAAAUUUUGAAAUUCUGAUUCUUUUUGAAAAAAUAAACAUAUCUGGACGUGGUCUGGCCGGUGGGGACGAGUGUUAGGCCGGCAUAGCUGCCUCGAUGCACCCUGUCUGGAGUGCAUGAGAUGAGCAUGGCUGAGGGCACUUUUAUGCAUCAGAUGAGCAUAGCUCAGAUGAGCCCAUGCACCCUACCAAACAAGCAAAAGUGGGUCAGAUUAGGAACUUUUGCCCUCAUGCACCCUCCAUGCACCCUACCAAACACACCCUAAGUGACGGCUUAAGCGCCACUUGGAUGAACGGGUGCCCACGCGCCCCUGCUCAUGCGCUGGCCCAGGUAAGGUGAGUGUUGGAUCGAUUCACCCGUUCCCACCCCUGGUCACUCUAGCACUAUUUGACCAGUCGCGGUUGACCAGUUGUCUGAUCAACCUUUAACUUUUUAAAAAUAGGGAAAAAGUAAACAAUGCGGAAAAACACAAAUAAAAUUGAAAAAAAAUGUGAAUUCAAAAAUGUUCACAGACUUUGAAAAAUUUCAUGAAUUUGUAAAAAUAGUUCGUCAAAUUUGAAAGAAAAUUCAUCGAAUUUGCAAAAAGGUCAUCACCAUCUUCACCAACUGAGUCUUUUGUAGGAGUAGAGAUGCGGCUGAGGACACUUGGCGCCAUGCCUUGACUGAAUGUCGGAUGGCCUAGUGUUCAUGGGCGUUGGGAGAUGAAGAAACAUGGAACAUAUGAUCUCUAAUUGUUCGGGCGAUGCCCGGCUAUGUUUGUUCUGUUUGUUUGAACCCAUGAACCAGCAGGAGCUUGCGUGAGUGGUUAUUACCCUAUGGGCCAUCUGGCGGGCUCGAAAGCAGGCAAUUCAGAUGACAAAUUUCAAAGUCCUCUUUCUACAAUGGGUUUCAUCAAUAGUGUAACACCCUCGAUGCGACUAUAUCUCUCACGUGUCGAGGCACGACUUAGAGGCAUAAUCGCAUUGAAGGCAUAUGCCGCAAGUGAGGUAAUCUUCACACAACCCAUGUAAUAUAAUAAGGGAAAGAGAUACAUAGUUGGCUUACAAUCACCACUUCACACAAUUACAUGAAUAAAGCAUUACAUCAACCAAAUACACUCAUGGUCCGACUACGGAACCAAAAUAAAAGAAGAACCCCAAAUGCGACAAAGGUCCCCGAUCGACCCCAACUGGGCUCCACUACUGAUCAACUAGAACGAAACAACACAAAUAAACAAG
rnacentral:lncRNA from 1 species